rnacentral:misc_RNA from 1 species
AACAUCGCGCACCUGCGGGAACCUGCGGAGGGAUCAUUACCGAGUGUGAACCCCCCCGUAAAAAAGAGGGGUUACCUCCCGUCCUUUGCUGGGAACCCCCUUCCAACUUGGAAGGAGGUUGUUUUCAGACCCUUCUGCUUCGGUGGGGUAACCCACCGGAACAACCUCAAAAAUAUUCUCAAUUCAAAACCGUUCAGUCCGAGAACUUUUUUGAAAAGCGAAAAAACUUUCAACAACGGA